GUGGGGAAUCUUGCGCAAUGGGCGAAAGCCUGACGCAGCCAUGCCGCGUGAAUGAUGAAGGUCUUAGGAUUGUAAAAUUCUUUCACCGGGGACGAUAAUGACGGUACCCGGAGAAGAAGCCCCGGCUAACUUCGUGCCAGCAGCCGCGGUAAUACGAAGGGGGCUAGCGUUGCUCGGAAUUACUGGGCGUAAAGGGCGCGUAGGCGGACAGUUUAGUCAGAGGUGAAAGCCCAGGGCUCAACCUUGGAAUUGCCUUUGAUACUGGCUGUCUUGAGUACGGGAGAGGUGAGUGGAACUCCGAGUGUAGAGGUGAAAUUCGUAGAUAUUCGGAAGAACACCAGUGGCGAAGGCGACUCACUGGCCCGUUACUGACGCUGAGGCGCGAAAGCGUGGGGAGCAAACAGGAUUAGAUACCUGGGUAGUCC
rnacentral:rRNA from 1 species